rnacentral:rRNA from 1 species
UACGGAGGGUGCAAGCGUUGUCCGGAAUCACUGGGCGUAAAGGGCGCGUAGGCGGCUCAUGAAGGCUGUGGUGAAAGUCCGGGGCUCAACCUCGGAUCGGCCGUGGCGACUCGUGGGCUGGAGCACUGUAGAGGCGGGUGGAAUUCCGGGUGUAGCGGUGGAAUGCGCAGAUAUCAGGAGGAACACCGAUGGCGAAGGCAGGUCUCUGGGCCACUACUGACGCUGAGAAGCGAAAGCAUGGGGAGCGAACAGG